UUUGCUUUUGGUCAUGGUGUUUUGUCAUACUAAUGGAAAUCUAAGUCAGGUGUUGACUAACACCACAGUCACAACUUACCCAGGUUAGUACUAGAGAAAAGGAAAACUAACUGACUUUUCAGAACAGAAUCAAGGGUGUCCGUCUCCCACCCCAAGGCUGCACUCCUUUAGAUCUGGCUAUUUUCAGGACAGAACCUGAAAGGCAGAAGCAACACAGACUCUCUAGGUAUUUUAGUUACCUGAUACUAUCUAGGUAUUUAGUUACUUGGAUAAUUUAGAAAAUAUAUUUUGAAGCAACACAGGCUAUCUAGGUAUUUUAGUUACUUGAGACUAUCUAGGUAUUUAGUUACUUGAUAGUUUAGAAAAUAUAAUUUGUAAAGCUCUAGAAACAUAGAAGACUUGCUUGGAUACAUUUUACAUUAAUUUUUGCUAUCUAGCAACCAUACUAUUGGGAAUGACAAUCUUAUCUGUCACGAUCACAGGAAAGGGAAGGACAAUCAAAGUCGUUUCCUAAAAUAUUGCAAAAGGGCUUCCUGUAUAAUUUCAAUUCAUAUGAAGGUAAAUUCCCACUAUGCAGACUCCUAAUUAUAUGCUUACCAAUAAUUGUGUCCAAAUCACUCAUUCCAUUUAUGUUUGUUUUCAUGAACUUAGGAAGAGAACAGGAUUUUUAAGUUAUGGGCACCAUCUCUGUUUCAGAGGACACAAAGUCAUUGGAAGAUGAAUAUGGCAGCACUCUGCCAAUCACACAAACCAGACUUCUAAAUGCUUUAUCUCUGUCAAGACUCAAUUUUUAGUUACUUUAACUAAAUUUUAAUAUAUUUGUGUUUAUUGAGCUUAGUUUUUGAGCACCAGUAACGGUCUAUCCCAUAAUAAGCCCAUGAAAAGAAAAUUUAGAGGUGUAAAAUCCCAAAAGACUUCAUAAUUUGACAGAAGAUUUAAAAGGUAAGUAUAUAAAUAUAUUUGAAAAUUCCAAAUAAAUCUCAAAGCUGGAAAUUGUUAACACUGUUUUUGAGGAAGCAAUUUUGAAUAUAAAAAACUGUAUAAACAAGGAUCAGAGAUAUGGCUUAGUCAAUACAGUGUUUAUGAAACAAGCAUUUUCUAGUGAGUAUGUACCACAAACAUCCACUUCAAAUUAUUCAUGGCAACAUAUACCAUAAACACCACCCCUGUGGUGGCAGAGGGAAGGGGAGCAGAGACCAGCAGAUUUCUAGAACUCACUGAUUAUCCAGUCUAGCCAAAGUAGUGAAUUCUUGUUACAUGAGAGACCUUGUUCUGAAAAUUACAGUUAUUAAUAAUGGAGGAAUAUACCCAAAGUCAACCUCUGACCUCUACUUACACAUUAAUAGAGAGUUGUAUCCAUACAAACCUGUACACGCAUAUGCAUAACACACAAGAGAGACCGACACAAUCACCUAUACCCUUAAAAAACAUGUAAAAGGAGAAAAGUAUCCAAGAGAAGGGUCAUUCCAUGAGUGGAGACAGAAAAUCAAAAGUAUAGAUGAAUUCAUACUAAGAAGCCUCAAGAGACAUGGAGAAUCAAGAAAUCCACACAGUUACUAGAGAGCAGACCACAGUGUAUGUUCAAACCAAAUAAUAAAUUUGGAGUAUUUAUUAAAAUCAAUGGAUGUUUAAUAAAAUAAGAUGGGGUUUAAUAUGUCUUUUGAUGGUGGUGACAUUAGCAGAAAUAACAGAAGCUUGGGUGAGGGGCAUGCAUAAGAGAGUAAGCAGAAAAACUUGGAGCACAAGGACUUAGUAAUGGACAGGAUGAUGAAGCAUGAGGCAGGUGAUGCAAGCCCACUGAUUUCAGAGCUGAGUAACAGUAACUGCAUACCAUGUGUGCUCUUUUGUAAUUGGGUUACCUCACUCGGGGUGAUAUGUCCUAGUUCCAUUCAUUUGCCUAAGAAUUUUGUGAAUUCACUGUUUUUAAUAGCUGCAUAGUACUCCAUUGUGUAAAUGUACCACAUUUUCUGUAUCCAUUCCUCUGUUGAGGGACAUCUCGAUUCUUUCCAGCUUCUGGCUAUUAUAAAUAAGGCUGCUAUGAAUGUAGUGGAGCAUGUGUCCUUAUUACAUGUUGAAGCAUCUUCUGAGUAUAAGCCUAGGAGUGAUAUAGCACUCACUAAUAAGUGGAUAUUAGCCCAGAAUUUCAGAAUACCCAAGAUUCAAUUCACACACCACAUGAAGCUCAAGAAGAAGGAAGACUAAAAGUGUGGAUACUUUGGUCCUUCUUAGAAGGGGGAACAAAAUACCUAUGGGAGGAGAUAGAUAGGCAAAGUGUGGAGCAGAGACUGCAUGAAAGGCCAUCCAGAGACUGCCCCACCUGGGAAUCCAUCCCAUAUUCAGUUACCAAACCCAGACACUAUUGUGGAUGCCAACAAGUGCUUGCUGAUAAGAGCUUGAUAUAGCUUUCUCCUGAGAGUUUUUUCCACUGCCUGACAAAUACAGAGGUGUGUGCUCCCAGCCAACCACUGGAUUGAGCAUGGGAUCCCCAGUGGAGGAGGUUGAGAAAGGUCCCAAGGAGCUAAAAGGUUUUGCAGCCCUAUAGGAGGAACAAAAAUAAGAACCAUCCAGUAACCCCAGAGCUCCUAGGGACUAAACUACCAACCAAAGAGUACACAUGCAGGGACCCAUGGCUCCAGCCACAUAUGUAACAGAGGAUGACCUUGUUGGACAUCAAAUAAGAGCAGAGGUCCUUGGGAGGAGGGACCCUUAGUCCUGUGAAGGCUCAUAUUUUUGUUCCUCUUAUGGGGCUGCAAACCCCUUUAGCUCCUUGGGACCUUUCUCUAACUCCUCCACUGGGGACCCCAUGCUUACGUUUUAAAUGUAAAUAUAGAAAAUAGCUAAUAAAAAACAAAAAGCAAAACAAAACAAAUAAACAAAAAAGAAAUGAGUAACAGGACAAAGAUAUUGGUAAUAACAGAUGUAAAAAUAGGCAGUUGAAGGUGAUGAAUUCAGCUUAAGAUAUAUAAUGUCUAAUGUACAGUUUUAUACUCUUAGAUUUGUAAUAAGCAGAAGUAAAUAUAUUUCUCUUGUUAUUGCUUUGACAACUGUUGCCCUUUGCUAAGGAUGGGUAAGUUUGUUAUUCUGAGUGACUUAUAUACUGGAAAAUGUUGUUCAGCUGGCUUCUAUAAGUGCAUAUGUAUACAGUAGGUGCAUAUUUUAUGCAUACAUAAAUUAUAUGUUUGUGUAUCAUUGAGCUGGGCAUAUUGGCAGGCAUAGGUAGGAACACAAUAGCAACAGGCUUAUUAUAUUUGAAAAUGUACUGUUGGAUUUGGCUGACUACUGGAGAUCAGUUUCAAAGAAGAAAUCUGUCUUGCCCCUGUGUGCUCACUCUCAUUGGAACAGUGCCAGCCUAUUUCCUAGACUCGCUGUCCCCCCACCCCCCGAAGCUCAUGUUGUUUCAGCUUUGCUCACAGGAACUCCUUUCCUGUAAGUAUAUGAAUUCUAUAGUGUGUUUAACUCAUGAAAGGUUGUUUAGGAAGGUUCAUCAAGAAGACUUUAAUACACUUAUUCUAGCAACCACUGCAAAGAACACAAAAGGGGGGGUCAUUUAUUAUACUUCAUUAGAUACCUGCACUCACAUUUUACCUACAUCCAGGUCAUACUCUAUGAACAGAUAGCAAGACCAAUAUCUUGCCUCCAAAAAGUAGGAAGAACCAUUAACAAAGACUCUUGCCUGCAUUUCAUACACUCAAAAUCAUGUGGGCUUAUAUUUUUCAAAACCUAUUUUAUUUAGAGUUUUUAAUUGCCUCCAUUCUAGCCCACUGACCUGAGGCCCCAGAAUGUUUAGAGGUCAGGUGGGGUGGGGGGUUGGGAGCAUCCAUGUGGAGAUUGGGUGUGAUGGGGAGGAGGUGAGAGAUGUGGAGCAGAUAGAGGGUGGAUGGGGAGAGCAGGGAAUGGGAAUUGGAAUGUGAAAAAUAAAUUAAAAAUUAAAUUAAAUU
rnacentral:lncRNA from 1 species